UACGUAGGGGGCAAGCGUUGUUCGGAAUUACUGGGCGUAAAGCGCGCGUAGGCGGUCUGAAAAGUCAGAUGUGAAAACCCCGGGCUCAACUUGGGAACUGCAUUUGAUACUGUCAGACUAGAGUACAGAAGAGGUGACUGGAAUUCCCAGUGUAGCGGUGAAAUGCGUAGAUAUUGGGAGGAACACCAGAUGCGAAGGCGGGUCACUGGGCUGAUGACUGACGCUGAAGUGCGAAAGCCAGGGGAGCGAAACGGG
rnacentral:rRNA from 1 species